UCAAAUCUUCAUCUGUAGAUGAUAGCUUGUGACUGUUUUGUUGGUAAUCUUUCAAUGGAUGAUUGGAAAUUGCUUAAUUUAUUUAACCUUAACAUUUACACUUUACUGUUUAUCGAUGACGUCACGUUAUCAAGGAGCGCGAAAAUUGGCAGAAAACUAAAGUUGUUUUGAUCUUUUAUGGUAAACAUAAAAUUGUUCUGCGAUUUCAAGAGUAACAAAAUAAUCCUUCUACAACAGAAGGGAGUUUUCAAGAUUUCAAUAUUUCUGAAGGGAGCUGCUGACAGAGAUGUAGGAAGCGCUGAAAAGAUUCUUCAGUGCUGAUGGCCUGAAGUGAACCUACUGUAAGACAACAUCUCCAAGAUGCUAUUGACCACAAGACUAGUACAGGUUAUUAGAAACUGCACAGCACAGGACUUGCAGGACUUGUGAGGACUUCAGAUGAUACCAGUACUCAAAAGACCUUAGAUGAUGGCAACUAUAGAUGGACAUACAAACUACCGCCACUGCAAAAAAGGUAU